rnacentral:rRNA from 1 species
AGACCCUAUCGAGCUUUACUGGAUACCGAUAGCGUUAACUUAAAAUGAUCGAUACAAAGUAUCCUAAUUUUGAGUUAAUAAAUUUUGUUGGUAGGACAGUUUAGUUGGGGCGACUACCUUUGAAUAAGAAACGAAGGCGAGCUUAUGGUAUAUAAAGCUAAUCUCAUUAGCCUGACAGUGAGGGGGACACCCCUAGCUGGCACAAGGACUACGUCCUAUGUGGGCGAUAAUGACCCGAUAUGAUUGUCCAAAAUAAAUAUCGAAAGCGGAUAAAAGCUACCGUAGGGAUAACAGCGUAAUAUUGUCGGAGAGUUCUUAUCG